rnacentral:rRNA from 1 species
GUAUCAGAAGUGCGAAUGCUGACAUAAGUAACGAUAAAGCGGGUGAAAAGCCCGCUCGCCGGAAGACCAAGGGUUCCUGUCCAACGUUAAUCGGGGCAGGGUGAGUCGACCCCUAAGGCGAGGCCGAAAGGCGUAGUCGAUGGGAAACAGGUUAAUAUUCCUGUACUUGGUGUUACUGCGAAGGGGGGACGGAGAAGGCUAUGUUGGCCGGGCGACGGUUGUCCCGGUUUAAGCGUGUAGGCUGGUUUUCCAGGCAAAUCCGGAAAAUCAAGGCUGAGGCGUGAUGACGAGGCACUACGGUGCUGAAGCAACAAAUGCCCUGCUUCCAGGAAAAGCCUCUAAGCAUCAGGUAACAUCAAAUCGUACCCCAAACCGACACAGGUGGUCAGGUAGAGAAUACCAAGGCGCUUGAGAGAACUCGGGUGAAGGAACUAGGCAAAAUGGUGCCGUAACUUCGGGAGAAGGCACGCUGAUAUGUAGGUGAAGUCCCUCGCGGAUGGAGCUGAAAUCAGUCGAAGAUACCAGCUGGCUGCAACUGUUUAUUAAAAACACAGCACUGUGCAAACACGAAAGUGGACGUAUACGGUGUGACGCCUGCCCGGUGCCGGAAGGUUAAUUGAUGGGGUCAGCGCAAGCGAAGCUCUUGAUCGAAGCCCCGGUAAACGGCGGCCGUAACUAUAACGGUCCUAAGGUAGCGAAAUUCCUUGUCGGGUAAGUUCCGACCUGCACGAAUGGCGUAAUGAUGGCCAGGCUGUCUCCACCCGAGACUCAGUGAAAUUGAACUCGCUGUGAAGAUGCAGUGUACCCGCGGCAAGACGGAAAGACCCCGUGAACCUUUACUAUAGCUUGACACUGAACAUUGAGCCUUGAUGUGUAGGAUAGGUGGGAGGCUUUGAAGUGUGGACGCCAGUCUGCAUGGAGCCGGCCUUGAAAUACCACCCUUUAAUGUUUGAUGUUCUAACGUUGACCCGUUAUCCGGGUUGCGGACAGUGUCUGGUGGGUAGUUUGACUGGGGCGGUCUCCUCCUAAAGAGUAACGGAGGAGCACGAAGGUUGGCUAAUCCUGGUCGGACAUCAGGAGGUUAGUGCAAUGGCAUAAGCCAGCUUGACUGCGAGCGUGACGGCGCGAGCAGGUGCGAAAGCAGGUCAUAGUGAUCCGGUGGUUCUGAAUGGAAGGGCCAUCGCUCAACGGAUAAAAGGUACUCCGGGGAUAACAGGCUGAUACCGCCCAAGAGUUCAUAUCGACGGCGGUGUUUGGCACCUCGAUGUCGGCUCAUCACAUCCUGGGGCUGAAGUAGGUCCCAAGGGUAUGGCUGUUCGCCAUUUAAAGUGGUACGCGAGCUGGGUUUAGAACGUCGUGAGACAGUUCGGUCCCUAUCUGCCGUGGGCGCUGGAGAACUGAGGGGGGCUGCUCCUAGUACGAGAGGACCGGAGUGGACGCAUCACUGGUGUUCGGGUUGUCAUGCCAAUGGCACUGCCCGGUAGCUAAAUGCGGAAGAGAUAAGUGCUGAAAGCAUCUAAGCACGAAACUUGCCCCGAGAUGAGUUCUCCCUGACUCCUUGAGAGUCCUGAAGGAACGUUGAAGACGACGACGUUGAUAGGCCGGGUGUGUAAGCGCAGCGAUGCGUUGAGCUAACCGGUACUAAUGAACCGUGAG